CCCACCCACACUCUCACUCCUAAAUAACACCCCUCAAAUCAUUUUCUGUUUCUCCAUGAAAAGAUUCAGGCCCAUUUGCAGACUCUGAGGGAAGAGAGAGAAAAGCUGCUGGGAUGUAAAGUGAGUGUAGAGACGAGAAGCCAGGAAUAUCUGAGAAAGACACUAAUCAAGAGACAGAAGAUUGUGUCUGUAUUUCAGCAACUGCGGCAAUUCCUGGAGGAACAAGAGCGACUCCUGCUGGCCCAGCUGGCAGAGCUGAAUGAGGAGAUUGUGAAGAUACAGAAUGAAAAUAUCACCAAACUCUCGGAGGAGAUUUCCUGUCUCAGUGAGCUGAUCAGUGAGAUGGAGGGGAAGUGUCAGAAGCCAACAAGUGAAUUCCUGCAGGAUGUCAGAAGCACCUUGGGCAGGUGUGAGAAGGGGAAGUUCCAACAGCCAGAGGAGAUUUCUCCUGAACUGGAAGAGCGAGUCAGUGGUUUCUCCCAGAAAACUAUUGCGCUAUUGGAGACUGUGAGGAAGUUCAAAGGUACAAGAAGGGAUCUAGGAGGGGAAAUUGGGAUGAGCAUCUGAGUCUAUCGGAGGAGAAUGUCUCUGGCCAAUUGGUUCAUAAUUAGAUUAUGUGUGUAUUUAAUUGUUGGGUGAGAAUGCCACACACUUGGGGUCCAAGUCACUCAGGUUGAUUAAUUCAAACCUUUAUUUGUAUCUAAAGCAUGCCUUGCCAUUACAAUUACUAUGAAAGUACGAAAUGACAGAUAUACUGAAAGAAGUACUGGCCAGUUGCCUACUCCUGGACCAUAGGCGGGUUAUGGUGGAUUUCUCUAUGAAACUCUGAUUACCCCUUACAAUGUCUGAGCUAUUAUACACAUCCAAAUUAUGUGUUUAUUAGUUUUUUUUCCAAUCACCUUUGAGUGUUAUGAAUAUUAAGUAUCUUCUAUAACUCAUACAGUGCAGAUGCAUGAACUUUUUAAUUCUCAAGGCUUUUGCUGUCCAA